ACAACGCCAUAAAAGCCUACGAGGAUCCCUUGCUUGGGAAUCGUGGGGUUGACAUUCUUUUUGCACAGCGUGCUGCAUCUUAACGGUUUUCCCAUUGCGUUCUCUGCUGAUUGGGACACAGAAUGGUUUCGCGCGACAGCUGAUUUGCAAGUGCAUUGUUGAGGGGGAUCAAAGAAGAGCUACAGUGGGGAGAUUAGAUCAUUGACUUUUGCAGGAUUGUUAGGCCUCUGGCCCAGGUGAGGGGACCCCGAGGAGGCCUGCAGCGCGCGCCUGGCUGCCCCUGCUUUCCUCCUCAGCAAGCGCGGCAAAACUCUUCUCCGGCCAGGAGAACCUCCCCCUGCCUCCCGCUAGCUCAAGUCACACCCCAGCGAAGGAAAAAAAAACACCUUCGCGAAGCAGCCCCCCUCGGCCGGGGCUGAAAAUGAUUUUGGCACCGGCAGGCCGGGGCGACGCAGUGCGAAGCGGGGCACUCUUCCAACUUCUCCUCUCGCCGCCCGCCCCCCCCCCAACCGCGAGAGCCAAGGCCAUCAGCAAGCGCUUCACGCGCCGACGCUUCCCAGAGGCUCCUCGCGCGCCUGGCCGGGCUCCGGGGCCCGGCGCGCGCGCGUCCCCACCAUGCAGACGGCCAAGGUAUGGGUGCUUGCCUGCCUUCUCUUGUGUGGGCUCCCUUACCCUGGAUUAGAGACUUUCAAGGUAAGCAAGCGCCCACUGCGUGCUCGAACCUGCGCUGACCGGCCUGAAGAGCUUCUGGAGCAGCUGUACGGGCGACUCACAGCAGGGAUGCUCAGCGCUUUCCAUCACACCUUGCAGCUGGAGCCUCUGGAAAAAGAUCACAAUACCAGUUGUCCAGCAGGGGGCAGAUCAGCUGCGGACAAGGUAUACCGACUCCCUAUCAACCUCAACAGUGUCUCUCCUUGGUCCUACAGAAUCUCCUAUGACCCGGCAAGGUAUCCAAAGUACAUCCCCGAAGCCUACUGCCUAUGCAAGGGCUGCCUGACUGGUGUUUACGGGGAGGAGAACUUCCACUUCCGGAGUGUCCCGGUGCUAAUGCCAGCAGUCAUCUUGCGCCGAACCACGACGUGCACCGGAGGGCGCUAUGUCUACACAGAGGAUUAUGUCACUAUCCCAGUGGGCUGCACCUGUGUACCACAGGUACAUGAAAAAGAAGUCGAGGGUGUAAAUUCCAGUAUAGACAAGCAAGGGGUAAAGUUGCUCGUUGAAUCAUAACCGCAAGCCACCAUCAGAAUGAAGGCCCCAGAAGAAACCUGAUGGCAAAGGUUGCUUUGCAUGUCCUUUUAGCUUCGCCAUUCCCUGGUUCUGGGAGUUCUAGAGUCCAUUCAUAAACACACACACACACGCGCCUGCAUGAUGAUGUGGGCUGCAGCCUGCAUCCAUGAAUGAGCCAUAUGCACAGGACGUUUGUGCCAGCUCAAAUACAGUCCCCUUCAGUGCAGUCAGAUAAUGUACCCGGCUGCGAGGCCUUUGUUUUUGAGAGGCCAGGUGGUGCUUGUGCAUAUAUAGGGCCCACCCAUAGAAGCAGCGUGCUUUGAAAAUAUCAUUACAAAUGUUGCGAAGACAGAAGCUGGAGGUGCGGUGGGACACAGUCCAGUGACACAGAGCCAUGAUGAGAUUUGAAGAAUCAUAGUUGAGUUGCACAAAUUAAGAAAUCACACCUGGAAAGUAGCUCUGGGGAUACAGUAGUGGUCCAGGAAAUAUGAGGCUUGUACCACCUAAUAGCUGCUAUAGAUAAAGGCAGAGGUCCACAAAUGUUGGCUUUGCUCUGAAGCAGAGCCAUUAUGUGUCAUCAUCACUGACACCCUUCUCAGACUCACAUAUGCCCUGGGGUCUGUCAUGUCACACUGAACCUUAAAGGUAGUGCAAGCAGCUCAUUUUUUAUCUGCUCCGAACAUCAAAUGAUAGGGGACUCCCUUUUGUCACAUCUUCUAAAUCCUUAAUGUAGAGGUCGCUGAAAGGGCUGUGUCUUUAAGAUAUGACCCUGAUUGCAAUGUCCUGGACUCCUGAUUAUUUUUGUUUCAGCUUUAAUUGUUACUUCUGCGUUCAAAGGAAGAAAACAUUUCACAAAAUAUCAUUUCAAAAGCAGAGUCAGCAGACUCGCUGAAAAGGUAGCAUCCUCACACUGCAAAGGAGUAUCAGUCUAU